GUGAUCUGAAAAACCUUGGUUUUAUCCUGGGAAGUGACCUGAGGAAUUUCAAAAAUCCUUAGAUUGAGGAAAAUAUCUCCUGAUCUCAAAAUGGUUUGUUCAGGAUGAAAUCAACAAAGAGCUGGAGUGACUCAGGUACUGCAGCAUUCCAUUUGUAAACAGCAAAGUAUCAGUGCAUUGAACAGAAACCUCAAAACUCCCUAACAGCUAAUGGAUCUAGAGGCAGACCACGGAUGGAUGUGAGCGAGGGUGAAGCAGAGCUCCAAAGGAGCGUGUUAUAGAGAUGGAUUACGCAGUCUCAACCAGGAUGAGGAACUGAACUCACUCCCACAUUCAGUGAGAGCUGUGGCCCAGACAGCUGCCUUGGGAGAAGCAUUGGCUUUUCUCCUGGUGGGCAAGUCUUGCAUUUCUGAAUGACUUUAACAAGAAGUGCUUAAGUGCUUGAGUUUUGCAAAUUGAAGCAGUUAAGCAGUUGCUUCACAAACAAGCUGGUUCUUGCCCUUGCUUUCUUGCAUGGUUUUUCUUGCAGUGUUAUUACCUUGCUCACUGUCCCAGGUCAGCCUGGGAAGCACAUGAAUCAGAUUAGAAGCUUUCUGCUAAGAGGGGCUGGGUGGUGUGAGCAACAGCUAUAGGGAGCAUAGGAGAUGUUUGCUGAAUUUUGGAAGUAGCAAACUCAGGCUCUGGAGGGGCAUUUGCAAGGAAGGAAGACAUCCUGAGUUUUGCCAGGUAAGUGCAAGGCAGAAGAUGGGGUUAGGAGAUGUUUUGUUGCUCCAAAUGAUGCUGAUGCUCCUUCUGCAGCUCUGCUCUUCUCAUUAGAUGGCUGUGAAGCCCACGCUCAGAAACCACCAGGUAGCAGGAGGGCAUCACAUGACUGCUCAUGAGUGCCCAAACUGCUUCCCAUGGCUUAUGCAGUGUUGGCAAGGAUUUUGGUGCCAGUUCUCCAAGGAGAGCCACAGCAAACUCCUGACCUGGAGCCUCUCAGCAGAUUUCCCAAUGAUACAGGAGAGAUACUGGGCGAGGCCUUGACAAAGCAAAGUGACUUACAGAGUGACCUAGCUGACAUGGGUUGCAGCCAAGAGCAACAGAUUCGGCAGUGAUAUCCCUGGGUGUGGAGCUCAGGCAUUGCAUCUGUACCAAAGAUGCACAAGUGGCCAUUGAGCUGUAGCUCUCUAAGUCCUCCACAAGGCUCGGGAGACAUGGGAUGCUUCACUGGCGGCUUGAUAAGAGGGAAAUGCUGCUUUCCUGUGAGUGAGUGAAGGCUCCCAUGGCUGCUGGGAAGGAAGAUGGUAGCCUGCCAGCAUCGCACCCUCCAGCUUGGUGCCACUGGUGAGGAGCUGCUCCUACGGAGUUGAGAACACACAGGCAUACACUGGAUCCUGACUUUGUUUCAACUGGAAAACAUAUUUGAAUAUAGACUUUUCUUAAAAAAAAAAAAAAAAAAAAAAAAGAAAAAAAAGAAAAACAGAAGAGAGUCAAUCCAGCUGCUUUAAUCCUUACUUCUUCUUGUUCUGGCUGUUUGCAUUUGG